rnacentral:rRNA from 1 species
CCGGCACGGGUGAGUAACACGUAUCCAACCUGCCGUCUACUCUUGGCCAGCCUUCUGAAAGGAAGAUUAAUCCAGGAUGGCAUCAUGAGUUCACAUGUCCGCAUGAUUAAAGGUAUUUUCCGGUAGACGAUGGGGAUGCGUUCCAUUAGAUAGUAGGCGGGGUAACGGCCACCUAGUCAACGAUGGAUAGGGGUUCUGAGAGGAAGGUCCCCCACAUUGGAACUGAGACACGGUCCAA